rnacentral:tRNA from 1 species
AGCAACUUAGCUCAGGGGUAGAGCGGUGGGCUCAUAACCCACAGGUCCCUCGAUCGAAACGAGGAGUUGCUA